rnacentral:rRNA from 1 species
UACGGAGGGUGCAAGCGUUAAUCGGAAUUACUGGGCGUAAAGCGUGCGCAGGCGGUUUGUUAAGUCUGUUGUGAAAUCCCCGAGCUCAACUUGGGAAUUGCGCUUGUGACUGGCGAGCUGGAGUGUGGCAGAGGGAGGUGGAAUUCCACGUGUAGCAGUGAAAUGCGUAGAGAUGUGGAGGAACACCGAUGGCGAAGGCAGCCUCCUGGGCCAGCACUGACGCUCAUGCACGAAAGCGUGGGGAGCAAACAGG